rnacentral:sRNA from 1 species
CUCUAGCCCUGAUUGGAACGACAUCCUUUUUGGUUGCGGGCGGAGUGAAGCGGAGUCCGCAACCAAAAAGAUACAGUGAAAAGCAGGAAACAGC